rnacentral:lncRNA from 1 species
GUUCAUUCCUUAUAAAUGAGAGCGAAAGCUAGGCGCAAAGAAUUUGAGAAGGAGGUGCAAAGAAUAUUGCGAGGAGCGAAAGCCGCUCGACUGUAAGGAGAGGAGCGGUGUGAGGAAGGAAAGAAAGGUAUACAUUACAAGAAGAGGAAGGAAAGAAAGGUAUACAUUACAAGAAGAGGAAGGAAAGAAAGGUAUACAUUACAAGAAGAGGAAGGAAAGAAAGUCAAAGUCUGUGUUAGGAAAGAGAAAAGGUUUUCUACCUUGUUCAUUGACUCCUUUCUCUCAACAAUAUCCCCCACGGAGCGGUGCCGCAAAUUCUUUGCUUUUUCUACUUAGAAAACUUCGUUCUCAUUUGCGUGUAAGACAUGCAUUCGGUAAGUGGUCAUCAAUGAACAAGGAAAGAACCCAAGAAACUUCCCACCAAGAAGAGAGGCAUCGGAUCGCGAGAAGGCUAGGCGUAAUUGAGUCGAGUGAGUUUAUUCACGAGAAGGGAAAGGCCUAAAGCGCCUUCAAAAGAAGUGAAAAAGAAGAAAUCUCGGGUGGGUGUGAGGCAAGCCACUUGAUCGGCAGUUUCAGCCUAAAUUCAUUCUAAGCCGGAAAUGUCCCGCUAAGCCGGAAAUGUCCCGAAAUCAAAUGCAAGAAAAGAGUGAGAACAUUCUUUCUAGUAAAAGAAGGGUCGAGGGUGCGGAACCCAGCAGGAGAGAAAGGAGGCUAUCUCUCCAUCUCUUAUCUAAUAGAAUCCACCCCAACAGGGAGGAGUGCUAGGCAAGUUCAAGUCCAAUCUUCUUUCCAAGACUAUUCACGCAAUACGCUUUUGAAUCAAGAGCUCGGGCAGGGGCUCAGUCCCACCCCUACCGAAAGGUGGGCAUCGCCUGGUGGCCGGGAUAUACUGAAUGGGAGGCGGCUAGGCGGAUGCCCGCAUCUCUGCCGAAACCCACGGAUGAAAUCUUCUUUGAACCUUGUCUCGAAGAGAAAGGAGAGGUGUGAAGGAGCAGAGAGACACAUUCAGUUCGGACCCUCUGAAUAGAAGAAGAAUGCACUAUAAGAGUUCUCAAAAUCAAGGUGCAAAGAUCUAUGGCCCACUCCGCGGGAUAUUGUAUGAGUUCUAUACACUAAAAAAAUGAACCGACUCAAAUACUGAUCGCCAUUCUGUUCUCUCAAAUUCUUUGAGCCUCCGUCCGCAGUCCGCAGUCCUACGUCCGCAGUCCGCAGGAUUUAUCCGUAGGACUAUCCAUUAGAAGUAGUCCGGAGUCCGGAGUCCGCAGGGCCAAAGAAAGGUCCAGGUGAUUUAUCCGUAGGACCAUCCAUAUGGAAGGAAGUAGUCCGGAGGAUUUAUCCGUAGGACCAUCCGUAAUUAACCGAAGUAGGACCAUCCAUAUGGAGGGAAGUAGUCCGGAGUCCGGAGGAUUCUUAUCCGUAGGACUAUCCAUUAGAAGUAGUCCGGAGGAUUUAUCCGUAGGACCAUCCGUAAUUAACCGAAGUAGGACUUUCCGUAAUUAACGAAGGGCUUGCUUUGCGCCUCCUACUACGUCUUAUUCCAUGCCGCUACGAAGGUUAUAUAAGUUCAGAAGACAAGACAACUCCAAAGGAAGGUCAGAAAUGAACGAGUCAAAAGGCUAUAUAAGUUCAGAAGAAAAGCCAACCGCUACGUGGGAAACUCCUUUGGUAAGAAAUGAACGAGUCAAAAGGACUUCUUCAGAUCUGAUUUGAAAUCCUCUGAUCUUCUUUAUGGGAGCUCCGCGCGACCUGAUUGAGAUCUUCUGAUCCUUGAUUCAUUGACUUCCUACAUUCUUCUUUUUAAUAGUCUUUUCUUAUUCUCUUUAAUAAAUGAUUAUUCUCAAUCUUCUUUGAGCCUUGUUCAUUGACAAGAGCAAACCUUCUUGGUCUGCCUUGCCUACGGUCUGAAGUUGCUGUCGUAGCAGUUCUUCCUCUUUCAGCAGAAGUGGCUGAAGAAGAAAGGCGAGACCGUAAGGAAGGAUGCAUCGGCGCCCACUACGCGGGAAACUCUGGCCUAAAUCACUCUUUUUCUAUGGAGGCAAAGACCAGGCUGAGGGCUCUCUUUCACCUGCUCCAGAGGAAGGAGAAUGCGAGGCAGUAGUUGAGGAUGGACCACGGUCUUUACGGUAGAAGCCCUCUUCUUCUUUCAGAGUUCGCCACCGCUCCGCUCCUACUAGAUUAAUCGCCUAGUUUCGACCAGCAAAGAAUAUUGCGAUGAAUGUGGACAGAGUUUCUCGCCAACAGGAAGAGGUUCAAAGAAGAUUUCCGCUUACAAUAUCCCUGUCUUAUGGACCCUGCCUCUCAAAUAUGAUGAAUAGUCGGACGGGUAGCUCGCCCAAGAGAAGAGGAUGAAAUGAGAGACCCAAAGCGGAGGAAGAAAUGAAAGCGCUCGGGAGCUCAAGAGGCAGAACAAGAGUACGCUCGGGAGGAAGGAAUUAAUAAGACAGACGCAUACGACUCCCAGAAACCUGCUAUUGAGGAAGGGCAUCGACUGGGACAUUCUCCGUUGCCGCUUCAGAGUAGGAUCAUACGACCAAGUGGGAAAGGCGCUAAGCCGCUAGACUGGCCGGGCCUUCUUAGUGGGGGAAAGCGGAUUUACCGCUACGUGGGUGGAAAGAUAUUUCAUGAAUAAGACUUUCUAACUUCAAGCGUGUAUCGUCCGCAGUCGAUCUUGCCCUUUCUGAAGGAGUUGCGGUUGCAGCUGGCAGGGAAGUUCUUCUUGUAGCCGUAGUAGAAAAAAGCUCUUUCAGCUAUCUCUCUUGCCUCAUUCAAGGAAAAAGGCUUGAGAUAUGUCCCAAUUUACAGUGAUUUCACUCUCUCAACUCAAAGCUCCAAAGUCACCUAAUAAAUACUGAAGAAAAGGUUAGAAGCCAAGCGCAUUUAUCUCAGAGAAUAAGACAGGACUCCCUAGGACUUAGGUUCUGCUUUUAAAAGACUAUUACUUCCUUCCAUAUGGAUGGUCCUACGGAUAAAUCCUGCGGACUCCGGACUCCUUUCUCAAAUUCAAAGAGCCUUGCCGUAGGUUACCGUAGGUUCUUUUAAGUAGUUUAUUGUAAAGACUAUUAAAAAGAAGAUCAUCAGACUUCUACGCGGCACUCCAUAAGACUCCUCCUACGGGGAAGCUUUGCGCAUUUAGAAAAUAUAUACAGAAAGGCUGAAUUCAUUGAGAAAUCCAUAUUAACUCCUUCCUUUCAGACUCUUUCAGUUCCAUAAGACUGAUCUGGAGCUUUUGCAAAGAAGAGAAUAGAAUGGCGAUCACAAAGAAUAUUGCGGAAAAGAAGAAAGGAGUGCAAUCAAUGAAAAGUUCAUAGGUUAAGCUUGAUUCAAAAGGACGGCGCCAAAAACAAAGGUCUAUAUGAAAAAACGACCAGAGAGGUUCAAAGAAGAUUGAGAAUUUGAGUCCUUUAAGUUACUAGUAAUCUGCUCCGUGGGCGACUUAUUAAGAUGGCAUCAAAAUAGAUCAAUGAAUCAGUCUUUUCUUAUGUUCUCAUUCCACUUUCACUUUCUGGGAGUCUUCUACUGGUCUCCCCUCUUGUUGUCGAGCUAUUAUCCAUCCCUUCCCCUCGUAAACUAAGCUCUUCCACUCUUUCCCCUAUCCUUCGAUCGAAGAACUCAAGAUUGAAUUAUGAGAAAACGAACUGUAAGUUUCAUUCUGACAAUUGAGAAAUGACAUAAGUUCAGUUCGAACGAAGAAAGCCAGCCAGGCAUGAAUUCCCAACUAGCACAUUCACUCAUUCUAAUCCCAAUUCAUUCUAUAAAUUCAGGCAAUACGAAGGAGACAGUCCAGGUCUGAGUCACUCAUCAGCCCACUACGUGCUUUCGCAGUCUUAGAUUAGAUGCUUCCGUGUACAAUAAGUCCUUUCCUUUCUUUAAUGGGCUAAUGCGAGAAGAGGCUAAAGGCUUCUUUCUCAAUUUACGGACAUAGCAGCAAUCCCAGGAUUUCUCCUUCAAUUCAAAGUUAGGCUAAAAGCCUUGAUCUAGCUCAAGAGCUUUCCGAGCGAACAAGAAGAAGAGCCACAGCAUCCCUGCCAGUGGCAUCCCUUGCUGUGGCUUUCUUGUGAUUCCGCUUUCCGAUAAGAGGUCAUUCUGAUUCAAGCUUGAAAAGAGUCAGAAACCCAUACUUGCGCCGGGUGAGAGGAGCGUAGCCACUCGACCAGAGGAGAGGCAAUUACAUAUAGUGGACUCUUCCCUCUCAUUCCUCGUGAACUAGGGAAAGACUACUACAUUAAGAGAUAGUUCGCGCUCUGACUUCGUACUUCUUUCUUGUUUUCGUGUACUUAUUGACGACUGAGAAUACCCCUUCUUCCACGGAUCUAGCCUAUUCCUCCACUCCUUUCUGGUCGAGCGCUACUUGAGACUGGGACUGAUUCCUAUGACCUAUCCCUUGCUUCCGGCCUCUCUAUCUGGGAUCUCUGAUAUAACCUAUCCUGCUUUAUCGGGCUGACUCUCUGGCUCCCUCGGAAACUGCUUUAUGGUCAAGCAGCAUAACGAAAGAUUAUGCAGCAGGACUGGUAUCGCUGACUCUGAAUCUGGAACUCUUUUUCAAUGAAUGGAAAACUCCCUCCUUUUACUAGUCUUCCGCAACAUAGAUCUAACCCACUCCGCGGUCUCGCGCGGGUUCCGUUCCGAUCCAGAGCUACUAAGACUGCUCCGUGGGCUUUCCAGAAAAGAGCUACUCACUUCCUCUCCCUACGGUCGAGUCUCUUCGCCCCUCUCCGUCGCGUCGAGUUGCUUCGCACCUCUAGCCUUCCGACCUCCUUUUGGGAAGGCAUAGAAUACAUACUGGUGCGUAUACGGCUUCUUCUAGUCGAGCAAUCCACGUGCAACUCCGUCUUAAUUCCAGGUCCUUGCUUCCUAUCGGGAAAGGAUCUCUAAAGCGCGCUCUAGCUGUUCUGCGCUUUCCGAGUGAUCUAACUGAACUUAUGUAAUUAUUUAUUAGUAGGAAGUGAGACGCUUUCCGCUGGUAGAACUAGAUAAGGUCAGAGGUAAAGAGCAAGCUAUGGAAGUUCUGUAGGAAGGUAGGUCGACUAAGCCACUAAGGCAGAGUUUAGCAUCUACUGCAUCCGUAACGAAAUCUACUUACGUGUAAAUAAAUAAAGAAAUCAGGCCUGAGGCCAAAGAGAUCUUUUACGAUCGCAAAGAAAGCGUAGUAGGACUUGAACCGUAGACAUCUUUUCCCACGUUCUACCGAGAAGAGCCUUUCAAGGAGAUAGAAGUCAAAGGAUGAAAGACCUGCCCAGCGCACCCGCUCCGUGGGCUCCAGCCCGGACCAGUAGGCCUUCCUUUCCCUUCGCUUCUUCCUUCCUUUCCCUGAUCCUAGGCUUUCUAUUACAAGAUAGGCUUUCCCGAGUUCACGCUAAGCCAGGAGUCAGAUUCCGCCGAAAGAACUAGGUGGUCUCCUUCGUCUAAACUCAUUUCCGCAAUAGCUUUUGGAAGCACAUCUCUAUCCACUGCUCCUUGCUACCCUUGCUAGAGUCUCGCGCCCUUGUUCAUUGAUUCUUAACGAAAGAUGAAAGACAAAGGGGGUACGGGGUGUCAAAUAAAGGUCUUUUCACUCAGAAAAACGAGUUGGGAAUCCCAGUAGAAAAAAGGCAUCUUUCCGCUGAUCGAAGAAGAGCGACGUCUGAAGCAUCGGCUUAUCGCACCAAGUAUUCUCGUAUGAAAGGUAGAGCCUUAUCAACUUCAGGAAGAAGAUCCCACGUAGCGGUCUAGGCCGACCUCUUGUUCAUUGAGGCGGUAAAUCCGGCUUGGUCCUUCGCACCUUUCAGAGAAGAGUUCUUCCUCUUUCAGUUCCCCUGAAAAGCUAGUUCAAAUUUCUCUCUUCCUUCCCAGCCUGAGGCACUAGGUCGAUUUCUUCUUCGAGCUGAGCUGCUUCAGGUGCCUUUAGUGCAGCGGGUCUUUCUAUUAUAUAGGUUUAGUCCAGGAAUGCUUCGAUCCCCUUGCUCUUUUGGGCAAGAGACCUCUGAUCCCGUAGCUCGAAUGGAAGAAGUCAAGGGAUAGCUGUGAGGCUGCUUUGUUGACCAAUGGACUUCAGGGUUGAAUCAUGAAAUUCAGGGUUUGACUGUCUUCCAUUCCACUAAUAUUUCGAAGGACGCAUCAAUGAACAAAGGCCCACGGAGCGGGAGAAGCAGAAGCCCGCUCGCUCGAUUAACAGGAGUGAGAGUCGGUUACGUACCAUGCGCCUGAUUUUUCUUCUUUUCCCCACUCUUCAGUUUCCGUUGAGUUGCCCUCUGAAGUUGAUGUUGGGGUUUCAGCAGUUGGGGAAGUUGCUUUUCUCAAAGCUAUUAUGCAUAGAAUGUAUGCACGAGAAGGAUGAAAUAGCUCUACGGAAAAGAAUCAAUCUGUCAAUCUGUACCCACUGCGCGGUAGAAAGGAAAGGCACGAGGUUCAAAGAAGAUUUCCGCUUCUUCUCAACUCAUCUGGAGCUUUGAUUUUAGGCUCUGAAUUUGCAAAGAUGUCCUUAUCAAUGAGACCCGUAGGAGGCUCAAAGAAUGAUCGGAGUAGGUGCAAAGAAUAUUGCGAAGGCGCAAAGAGCUCAGAAUUUUCUCUUUUUAUCCAGCCCCAUAAAUCAAGUCCAAAAUAUUAGUUCCAUUACCUUCUCAAACCUUUGUUCAUUGAUUCAGUCUCGCACAAGACCCUUUUAUUUAUGGAUGUUCAUUGAGCCUUGUUCAUUGAUGUCUUUUCAACCCUACCAAAAAGUUCGCUAUCUAUUAGUUGCCGUAAUCGAAUGUAUUUCUCAUUUCGUCUUAGCUCCUCCAAGAGCUUCCUGGUCCGUAGUAGACGAAACCCUGGACUUCUAUCGGACUUAUAGCAUUGCCUGGUGAGCUCGCCGUUGAGGGUUGGCCUUACAGGAGAGCGAGAGCCUUUCUUUCCCUGCCUGGCUUUCCCGCUUAUCGCGCAACUAGCCAAAGAGAGAGGGAGAGGGGCGAAGAGACUCGACCGUAGGGAGAGGGUCAAAGAAUAUUGAGAAUUUGUAUGUGCAUUUUCUCCGUCCUGUACUUGCCUGCUUAGCUUUCUUAGCCAAGAUCUCCGGUUUCCCCCGAACCAAGAGGUCCUGCUUAUCCAGACCCAAGAGUCACACUCUUUUUCAGCCGAUGAUUUUUUCAUUCGGUUCAUAGAUCAAGAAAGAAUGAAGCUGCUUAAACCUCUGCGGUCAGUCCUUCGGACCAGGUGCCAUAAGACAGGGAUAUUGUUAGGCGCAAAGAAUAUUGCGACUUUGAAUACGAGCCUUUUCCCAGCUAUCAACCUAGCCAUUCGAGCUUCUUGCUUUAAGGGGUCUCCCCACUUUAUGUGGGUAUAUAUAUAGGCUUCGUCGAGAAUACCAAGUCGAUCGGCAAGGUUUCGCUCGUCCUGUGAGGGAGGAAGGGUGGAGGGAUACCUCUCGGCCCUUUUUCGUAUAUUGAAUCAUUAGCAACCCCCUCUUUAUCGAUCGUCAAAAAGAUAUGCUUGAUCAGCUUCCCUAGUGGUAUUGCCUUCUAACUGCCCAGCAUAUACCUUUACUAACUCCACAGCUGCUCCCUCAGUGCACUGCUAUGCAGAGCGGAGGUUCAAAGAAGAUUUCCGCUUGAUUUAGCGGGCAGAGAUUUUAGCUAAGAAUGUCUUGACUCCUUAGCCAUAGGAAUUGGAUGGGCAACUACUACUUAGAUGCAACUACUAGCAAAAAAACUGGGGAUUCAUUCUCGCAAUAUAUAUUCUUUGCGCUUUUUUAAGCGGCUGCAAUAUAGCUUUCAUUCAUCAAGCCUGUCCCUAAUGGAUAGGACUGAGGACCUGUCUUAUGGCACAAAAGUCAAUCAAAGAAAAAAGAAAAGAAAAGAAGAAUGAACUCAUUAACGAUAAUGAAAGAAGCUCAAAACAAAAUUCAUCUGCUAGAUUUCAGACAUCUUUGCUUAAUAUGGGCAGUUCCAUACUCUCUUUUUUACGGAGGGAAAUGCUAGGUUUUGGGCCUAUAAAGUAGCAAGAAAAGACAAAAAAUCAGUCAAAAAAGUACUUUUAUCGUUAAAUAGAAAUAUGAGAAAAAGUCCUAUUUAGAAGCAAAAAAGCCGGGAAAUAGCAAUUCAAGAAGAACUCCUAGGACAGGGAAAAGAAAUGAACAUAGUUUGAUUAUGGUUUCUGGUCCGGAUACUGACAGGUCUAUUCUUUGAUCCUUCUAAUGGAUAGUCCGGAGGUCUUAAUACUCCUAACUACGGGAUAAAGAGAGGUCUAUUGUAGGCGGUCGAUGAGCAAACAAAAAGAAAGCGGAAAAGACGCAUCUUGAGCAAUAUUCGAUAAUAAAGGCUGAGGACCGCUCCUACUACGUCUGAAAUCUGGGUUAAUAUGGAACCUUCGGACCAGUCAAUCAAUCAUCAAUAUCCCUGUCUCGCAAUAUUCUUUGCACCUGAUGGAUAGUCCUUCGGACCUGUCUUAUGGCAUCAUUUGAAUACCUGCGGCAAGGAAUAUGACUCCUCCGGAGAGGUUAUACUUGACUAUUAUCAAAAUGAUACAAGACUAUCUUAAAGAUUAUUUCCGAGAAAGAGCUUCGUUUUCAUAGGCUUUCUUCAGAAUUUGCUUAAGACAUGCAUUCAUCAAAAGAAAGCCUAUCUGAAGGGAGGACUGAAAGCCUAGACUGCAGAAAAGGAUAUGAAGAAGAAGAGCUUUCUUAUCUUAUUCUUUCUUAUUCUUUCUGAACCUAUGGAAUAAGACGUAGUAGGAUCAGUCCGAAGGACGGAGAAGGAGCUCUCCCUAGCAGAAUAGUCUUUCUUCCUUUUAUCUUUUUUAUCUUUUCUCUCUCAUAUUUCGCAAGAAUCCGUACCCUACAGAAAGAGGGAAACUGGGUUCGAGGAGGUUAAGGCAAAUACCCGCCCCGCGUCGAUCGUGGAGUUCAUUCCGCAUGCGCGGACUAAAUCGGGAAAUUGCGUGAUUCAUGGGGAGCUGAGUUUCAUGAAUCUCCUUGAUUUAGUACGAAAAGUUGGGGAGUCACAAAAAAAAGAAAGCACCGUAGCAGACCCGUCCAUUAGAAAAAGGGUAAUUCCGUGCCUCAGCCCGAAACCGCUACGUGGGGUUAGGUUUUUGGCUUGAAAACGAGUGCCUUUCACAUAUUUAAGUCAGAGAAAAAUAACCUUUUGAAAGAGCUAAUUAUCCCUCUCGCUUUAUUUAGCUCUCCUUUCUGAUCUCAACUUCGUAAACUACCUUUCCUUUCUUCCCAUCUUGCACUCCUCUUCGCUUCGGGCCUCUCCUUGUCGACUCUCUUCCUCUCCAACCUCGAGUUGUCCCGUGCUGGCGAGCGUGUGACUUAUCUUAUGCUUUGAAAUAGAUUUCCACUUAUGCAAGCCUAUCCUUUCCGGUAUCGCUGCCCCGUACUAAGCAAGACUAACUGACGGAUCAUACUAUGAAAAUUUCCAGGUUCAAGCCGAUCCUGAUCUCGAUAUUCAAACCUUUCCCGCCGCACACAAGAGAGUGAGAUUCUGAUUCCUAAACUCCAACUCCUUCCUUUCUCUCGUUCUACCGGGUAAAUUCAAUGGCAGAAGUAACUCAACUUCCAUCCGUUGGCGGGCUAGGAACCCGCACCCCCCUCAACUAAGAAAAUUUCCGCUCUUGAAUCGAAAAGGUAAUGAACUGCUCGCCUUCCCGUGAUGUUCCGAUUUCCGCUUUCAACUCCUCUUUUUUCCAGGGAGAAGAAGUACUUUCACUAUUAGUUGAGGCGGGGAGGCUUACCCGAGUUCACGACCGAUCUGAAAUCGUAGACCUCAUAUAGGAAGCAAGGGUACGGCUAGAACGAGAGCAAUAGGAAAGGAAUCAGUCGUCUAUCCCACUAUCGUCGCUAACAAAGCUUCUUGGUUUACACCCGAUCGCGGAGUUCCUCUCCCUUUGCUUUGGGAGAGUGAUUGAAUUCCUCUCGUACUCCUUAAACAGUCUGACUUAAGAGAACCUUUGGUCGAGCUAAAACAUUCCUCUUUACCGAAAGAGAUCCAUUCUUCGUGCGGACGAUUGAAGUGACUCAUAUUCUUCUCAUUGAGAAAAGAAAGGAUAUUAAUAAUAUAAGAAACCCUCGUAAACCAACUCAGCUGCCUCAGCUUCAAGAGACAGAUCUCAUUCCUUCCUCUGCUUCAACGGCUUUCUCCGCCAAAAGAGGGCUAGCUACUCUUGCGGAUACUUCUACUGAUAAAGUCAGGCAGGAGUUCAUGAUCUGACUCAUGAAAGAGAGAGAGAAUACCACCCUUUAAGCCCACUCUUAGGUGCUGCCUCCUGUAGUCCUCUCUUACUCCUUUUCUUUCUCUUCUUUCAUCUCGAAGUUAUGUUCUCAGAUCAUUCACGAGAAGAAGGGGAACCGGAACUCUCACUAUUCCAUAGGGCGCGAAGUAGCUAACCUAGCUCCCCAAUUAUUUAGAAAGAAAAAUAUGACUCCCGCGAAAGAUACGAUUUAGGCUAAUGCUUAAUAAAAAAAGGAUGAAUGAGAGAAUCCAAUGACAGAAGGAAAAAAGAAAGGCUCAAAGAAUGAUCGAGGGUUGAUCUUGACCUCUGAUUCAAUGGAAGAAGGAAACGGGGAAGCAGCUCUCAGCUUAUAUAUUAAAGGUCUCUUUCUCACGCAACUCUCAACAUUCCCCGUCCGAAGGACUAUCCAUCAGGUCCAUUAGAAAAAAGACUUUUCGGGUUCCAUAAUACGAACGCAAACAACGCAUAUUGAAUUGCGCCUAGCGCCAGAAAAGAAAGAAUCUCAUCUUGACCUCAAUAUCCUUUGAGCCUUCCACUAAAAGUCCUUCGCCUUGGAUCUGGCUCAUCACCCCAUUACAAGUCCAAAAAAUAGGCGUACGACUACCUUUUCCGACGAUAGGAAAGUUUGAGCUGAAAGAUGAAAGGUUAUAGUCAUAGGGAGAAAGCCUAGGGUAAGAAAGGCGGGCUUAGCAGGUUUCUCCAAACGUAUAAACAAAAAUCAGAAGCAAGCGGUCCUGAAGAGGAUACCGAUACGCAUACAUUAUCGCAUGGAAGAACCUAGCUGAACCGGAUCAAGGGUCCUAACCGAGUCCGACUGACCCUCUUUGGCUGGCCCCGCCCCUUGCAACGAGAAAAACCCGUACGUGCUUUUUCCUUUCGUUUAGCGAGAUAGCUUACCAGCUCGCUCAUAGCAGCAUUAUGAAAAGCUGAAUCCUCAUCCUGAGUCGAGUCCGCAUUGCCAUACGAAUCGACAUCGGCCAAAGCAAGAGCUCCUAUUUUUUCUUUAACGAAAACAUCGAAAGAUAAAAAAGAGAAGAUAAAGAUAAGUUGAUCCGCUCUUUCGCCCCUCCUACUUAUCAUCUUACGAUUCAAAGAAGGAAUACACCUAGGAAUGCCAGAGUGCUUAAGUGAGGCCGGAAAAGGUAAAGGGGGGUUCAUUGUCCUUUCACUAAGAAUACCUCUUCAGGACUAGACCGCAAGACUGAAUAUACAAAGCGGUGCCGAGGUUCAGUCGCACCAUCUCUGGUUCUUGGUAAUGCCAUCUGUCCUUUUGCCCCUCAUACGCCGGCUCCAAGAAUUUCUUUGAUAAAGACUAUAUGCUGGUAAUGCUGGGGCACGCCUUAAAGUAAAGUCCUCCUCCCCAGGUCCACCGUCGUCACCUAUCGAUGACCUGCCUUCAGUCUUCUUCCAGCGCUUCAUAGUCUUUAUAUAGUCUUUCUCGUACACCUGUAGAGCAGCUCAUCAAAUUUUCCCAAGUCGUCUUGCAACCAGACGACUCCAUCUCUCUCUUGUAUUGUGUCCUGAAUCCUCAGAAUCGGUGUCUGAUGGUCUGAAUCUCCACUGGAAUCUGAACUUGGCGUCUUGCCUUCCUCCUUCGAUCCGUCUUGCAAGUGCAGGGUAACCCUGGGCCGGAUCCACUUUAUCGACUGUGUCCUUGCCGCCUAAUCCUUCCCAACUCUGGCCGCCUGUAGCUAUUCCGAGUAGGGUCUCGUAAGCAUCUUCGUGCUGAGCCGUCAAAGCAAAAAAGUGGAUGCUAAACUAAAGGUGCAUCAAUGGAUACCUUCCGCCUCAAAGACUUCUCCAGCGGCUUUACUGGUCGCGGGUCUGCCAUUCUCAGUGUGACGAACGAAAGCAGCAUAACGAAUAAGAUAUGAGAAUAGAGUGAUUUAUAGAUAUUCAAAGAGAAUAGAAUUGGAAUCCGUGCGGAGAUAGGCUCAAAGAAUUUGAGUCUCUCUACAAUAGGCUGGAAAAAAGGAUAAAACCUACUUUCCACUCUCUGAUAGAGCGGUAUGUACCGCAGGUGGCCUCAAUCCCUAUGGAAGAAGGUUUGGAGUGAACCCCAAGAUGGAAGUCCCAACGGCCCCCUGGUAUGCUAGGCUAAUGGCAAAGGAUGAAGAUGUUCAACUUCAACCACAUGCCAAAAAGAGCAAGCAUCUUUCUAGCCUUUCUUAGUGAGUUGGCGGCCUUUGAUUGAAUUUCUUAUAACCUUUAUCCAUACUCACGGACAAGAGUGCGAGCACAAACCCCUACACAGGCCGAAGUUUACUAGGUUUGCCUGAGAUCCCGUAGAAGGACGUAGUAAAAGAAAGCCUAUCCGUAGAAGGAGUCUUCUUUCCUUGCCGUAGGUUUAGAAGGACGUAGAAGUCCCGCUUCAAAAAGAAAGAAUCUCAUCUUGACCCCCGUAGAAAUCAUUGAAGCGAAGGUGAAAAGAAUAUUGACAAGACUUCCGGGAUCAAUGAAAUUUGAUGAGUGCAACUGAUUAAUGGAAAAAAAUAGGCGUCCUUCGGACCACAGGUUAAUAUGUCCUUAUCAAUGAGACGAGUGGAUUCCGUUCUUCUAAUAAUACCGACCAGGGCUACUUCUUAAAGAAGAACAAGACCUCCUUCAAUGGCAGCAACUGCUCAAGGUACGGGAUUAUGAUUGGCUUAGUCGGAGCGGAGCGCCUUUAGUCUUUUUCUUUGUUAAUGGAGUGAUAAUGGAGGAUGAAAGCCGCCUCAAUGAACAAGGGGUGACUGAUCGCUAAACUUCUACCAAUUGCAGAUACCACCGUGGGGUUGAUCCGCCUCGUCGUAAACUCUGCUGCCUGGGCCCCGUAGUAGGAGUCCCAUAAAUCAGAGGUUAGGAGACUGAUGGAAUUCGACUCAAUUAGAUCUCGCCUUCGCUUCCCGCUCCGUGGGCGCCUUUCCGUAGGUUCUUCUCUUUUAUUAAGGGUUCAUUGACUGGUUCAUGAAAGACCGCUUUUCAUCCAAUGGAAUACCGCUCGGGCGCGUGUCCCAGGGCAUUCUUCGGCCGCAACUCUGAUUCAUGAAAUUCGCCCUCCUGGGUAAGAGAAGAGAAAGCCCUUGGAAAGUCAGGUUAAUAUGGAUAAGUCCUUCGGACGGGUAGAUUUUCUCAUUUCAUAUGAGUUUUGGACAAGGUACCAACUCUUUCUGGUCUCGCGCUCCCUAGGACAUUUAGUGCGAUCCUACUGAAUGAGAACCCCACCGCCGUCUGGGUUCCCGUCUCACUUUCUCUUUAUCAAGACUAUCACAAAGAUUAAGAAGCGGGAGAGGGUAUCAGCUUUACCGACUUAGAAAUAGGAACCUUGACCCUUGACGAUCCCAGACUGAUGACUGCUAACUUCUCCAAGGACAGCGGCACCCUUAACUCAGUCUCGAGCUGCAUAACCUCCCCCUUUUCAGGCGGCGGGAAACCCCAUAUGGCGACUGGAAGUUUUCAGCCUUUAUUCUCAUCCCCUUUCUCAGUCAUUGUAGCGGGAUGGGAGUCAUUCAAUCUACCCGAAGAAUGAGAUCAAAAAGGAAAACCCUAGCUUCGAACUCCCGACCAGGACGCGGGUCUAUCCUUCUUCUCAACCAAGUGGCAAUUCCCCACCCGCUACGUGGGCUAAGAGGUUUCCUUCUUCCUCUCCAGCACUCCGCUACGUGGGGCAGUCGCUUCCCGCUCGGCGCCUCCUCUAUCCUCUUCUUCCUUGCCCUAGGUUAUUUUGAGUCCUCCUUUUCUUCUUUGCACUCAGUCCCUUCCCGCUCCGUGGGGCCUUGCCGCUCCUACUACCGCUCGGCUUCCUUGCCCUAGGUUUAGAAGGAGGAUUUGGUGGCCGGAGGCUGAUUAUCUGAGGAUUUGAGUUGAGGACCAGAAAAGAAAUCGCAUCAUCUACUCGCGUAAAUCACUCAAAUCAUACUGCUUCAAAGUGUGAAGGGAAGAAAUCGCAUAUGCUUAAGACACGCGGAUUGGUCUAUGACCGGCCCCUGAACCCGUUGGCGAAAGCAAGCUUCAUUCUUCCAAAGGCGGACAAAGGCAGACGGGGUAGAAAAGCUUUCAAGGACUCAAGAACAUAGGCGAAUCUGUCUCGGAAUUUGCGGAGGCAGCCUCACCGCCCCGUGGGUAGGCUCUGGGGCCGGACGAGCGGGAGUGGCUGUCCUUGCUCUAGCUCUUCUUGCAUAUUAUUAUUCAUCUCGUGAAUGAAAAAGAUUCCCAUUGAAUUUGGAAAUGCUGAACUCCUCUAUAAUUAUUGAUUAUGAUAUUCCAAUCCGAGACCUCGAGAGGAUCCCAAGGAAUCCCCAGUGGAAAGGAAGGAGGGGACCGUCUUUCAUGAAUCGGUCGAAGACGGGAGACUGAAAUGAAAGGGGAGAAGAAAGGAAGUAGGGUUAUCAAGGUAAAGAGUAUCUUCAUCCACGAGAGGGUUCCGCUUCAGCGCGAAUAGUUUCAGUCGGGUGCAGAGGUGCGAAGGAGAGAAAGAGAUCAAUGAACAAGUCAAUGAAAAAUGAAGCUCCAGAUGAGUUGAAUGAGAGAGAUCUAUUCAAGAUAAGAAAAAGAUAAAGCAAAUCAAAAAAUCUCAACUUAUUCUAUUCGUAAGAAGAAGUAGAAAGUAUUUAUAUCUUAUCUUGACUUUCGCACAUUCGCAGUUCAUAUCGAGCUAAUAUGAUAAGAUAGAGAUCUUCAGUAUCCCACACUUUUCUCAAGACUAUUCACGACUGAUUUUUGAUAUUAAAGAGAAGAAGAGCUUGAUCAACCCCUUUCCAUAUCAAAAUAUAUAUUAGCGCAUUCGCGAAGUAACUAUCUUCUUAUUAAGAAUGAAGAGCAGUUCUUAAUAUCGGAUUAUGUGCGGGAUCAGAGGUCUUCUUGAGGUAGCAUUUCUCGUAGCCAUGGAGGACGAGGUAUUCACAAAGAUUCCGUGAGUCCGUCCGCUCGAUCCACGUCGGGAAUGAGGUCAUCUCGCCGUCGGCCUCUAGAAAGGUUAUGGAAGAUAUAUUAUUCAGUAAUUGCAUUUCAAUCCUUCCGGAGACAGUCUCACUCGAGACCUCGGGCUAAGGGACCUCAGUGGCAGUGGCAGCCGGAGCUCGCUGUGGAAGAAAGAGAUGAGGCAUUCUCCGGGAAGAGUCAGCGGUUCUUCAUUGAGGCGGUGAGAAGGCUUGACCCACCGAGAAGGGAAGGAGUGGCUUAGGAAAAGGAGUUUCAUGGGUGCAAGGGCAUUCCAUGGCCCAGGGCCAUAAGCAUGAAAAAUGGGAUUUUCUAAAGGGUUAGCUCCGUCUAACCUUCCCCAUUUCCCCCGGUUGAUAGAUAAGACCAAGAGAGGUUUGAUUGAGGUAUUCCUUCAAUCAAAUAAAGGUUAUAUUGGCCUGAUCGAGAGCACUCCGAAGAUAAUUCCUAUCCUAUUUAUGUGCCUUCUCCUUCUUUUUUUCUGAGUAGCCACCGCGUAGUGGGAUGAUUCAAUACCCACAUAAGAUAGGAUAGAAGGUAGAAUCAUUUAAGAGGCAAAGGCUUUUCGAUCAGAUUAGAUGUGACCAGAGAGAACGUCCAAAUAAUGAAUAAUCAGCGCUUGGUCAAGAGAUCUAUCUCAUUCCCCUACCUUCAACUAAGCUAUUUCCACAGCUAGAAAGCCAGAACUAAAGCAAGAACUCCCACUGAAGAAAGAGAAUGAACCUCUCCUAGCUGAGAUGAUUCAACUUAUGCAGCUACAAUGCAAGGGCUACUUCCGCAACAGAACCUACUUCCGAUCCAUCCGACUGACGAGAGUGAAACCGGGUUUUCGUGCUCACUAAGCCAAAAGGUGGAUGCCCACUGCGCUCAAAUACUUUUCAUCCAAAAAAAAAAUAGAAGAUGUCAAAAUCUUGAAAGUCAGGUGGAUGGCUAUUCAGCCUAUCCGGGAAAGAGCUUAACAAGGAAGGAUGGAAGUUGGCACCUAAAAUGAGUCUUUUCUAGCGGUCCGGAGGCUCCAUAAGACAGGUCCGAAGGCUAGUUAAUAUGGAUAGGACUGAGGAUGGUCCGAAGGCUCAAAGAAUGAUCGGAGUGCAAGUCAUUCAUUCUAUUAAAUAGGCAGAGGAGAGGGGUCAGCCUAGGGAAAGGUAUGGAAAGAAAAGAGCUUUCCUAAUAAGGAGAGAGAGUAGGUCAUAAACCAAAGCCCACUACUAGAACCUACUAUUUAGUCGAAAGUCUAUCCCGUCCUUUGCCUUUGCUUUGUGCAGAUUCAUUGAGGACUUUCAUCUUCUAUAUUAUGAGGCUUACUAAUAAUGCUGAAGUUCCUUCGGAGUCGGGUGUGCGCGUCUUUCCUUAUUCAUGGAUCACAGUAGAGGCAGAGGCAGAAGUAGUUGUCCCCGUUGAGUCUGCUGAGCAAGUCAACCCUUGUUCAUUGAGGCCGUUCUUUAAGCAGGAAGAGUUGCAGAGUAGUUUCUUGCUGCAGAAUUUGAAAGAAGAAAAGAAAGCUUUUUCUUGUAUAUGAUGAACGAGUAAAUAGCUCUAAGGAUUCACAUGAGGGGGGGAAUCCCCCACGGAGCGGUACAAUCAGAGAGAGGAAGGAGGGACAAAGUCCCCAGGCAUCAUAUAAGAGGCAUCGGCAGCUCGAAGGAGAAGGGAAAGGAGGACGGGCCUCAUUUCUCACUAUUUCGUAUCCGACGAUGAAUUAAUAUUUCUUCUUGAUUUCAUAGAAUAAAAGACUUAGCAUCAGACUUAGUUAGGUCGGAGCUCUAGUUGAGUUUCAUAAAAAGCAUAGGCUCCAUAAGACAGGGAUAUUGUAAGCGCAUUUAUCCGCAAGGUAAGCGAGUCCUUCGGUAAGAGGCUCCAUAAGACAGGUCCGAAGGACUAUCCAUCAGGGAGGUGAAAAGAAUAUUGACAAAUGGACUCCUCAAUUUCAUCGAGCCUUCUACCGCCCCGUGGGAAUCUUCUAAACCGUAAAAGCCUAUCCAGGAAGUUCAUAGUUCAUACGGUCAAGGAGCAAGAUCGCGAUAAAGGCCACCGCGUAGUGGGACGGAGAUUCGAUGGAUGGGGGCCAAGGCGCCUCCUCUUCUUGUCGACUUUGCUUCAUUUUUUUCAUGCUUACUUCGAAAGAGAUGGGGAAUGAAUGAUCAAGAAUGAGAUUGAUGAAAAUGAUUUCUACUGCUUUCCUACUUCAGGAACCGCCGAAAGAACUCAAUCUGGGACAGUCCCACUCGGCCCGACCUGCCGACCCUACCUACUCGAAGCAGGUAGCUGGAGACCCAAGAUGAGUUAUAGGAUGAGUUCUUGCUUGAGCUUUGAGUUACCUUGCGGACUCCCCUUAGAAGAAGAGCUGCUAAUACGAGAGAUGUCGGAAAAGGAUAAACUUCUACUCUUAUUCACAACGAGAAAGAAGAAAGAAGAGCUGCUUCGCUUACCUCCGAUCCUGGGUCUAGCCCGCGAAAGGGAGAAUUCCUAUGAAAGAGCAGACUUUUUCUUCUUCUGCGACAGCUGGGGGACGCCUAUUUUUUGACCUUGAUUCCCUAGCGGACUCAGCUGGGACUUCUGGUCGAGCGAGUUAGGACAAGGAAAUCUUUCUUAUUCAAUGGGCUCAAAAUCAAGAGUGAAAGUGGAAUAAAUCAGUCCCGCAACAAAAACAAAGAGAAGUCCGACGCAUCAAAAUCUCAAUCGCAUAUUUCAUUCCGCCUCUUCGCUUCGCUCGAUGAAAUUGAGGAGACGGAGGAGAGGGCGAAAACCAUUUCUCACAUUCUGCCUCACCUUCUUUUCUUCUAGAAAAAGACGCUAGCUACCGGAGGGCGGAUUCCAUGUGAGACCCAAGGGUCAAAGAAUUUGAGAAGAGAAGGGAACCGCGGAGUGGGUCACGGGGAAGAGGAGUUAGGCUGGAAGAGGGAGGCAAGCCGCGCUGCGAGAGCCGCUUUAUUGGCUCUUUCCGUCUCCCUUUCCGUUCUUGCUCCAGAGGCAGGAAUGCUCGGAAGUUGUUGAGGCUCCAAGUAUAGGAUGCACCAUCCGGUGUGAUUUCAGAGGCGGUAGGAGAAUAUGCUGAUCGGGCUAGGCCCAGUUCGCUUUCUUUAAUUAGACUAUCAAGUCAACCUCUGAAAGUACAAAAGCAGAAUCACAUAGAAUUCAGAAGGCGCACUCGCGCGAUGGAGAGAAGAAAAGAAGGUCAGGCUGAAUUAAUUGAGAGUUGCGUGAGGCGCAAUGUUCUAAUGGAUAGUCCGGAGGACUGGAUCUUGUUUUUGAGAUCAUUCUUUUUCAAUAUUCUUUUCACCUUUUUCUUUUUGAGCCGUGCAGGUAGGAAGGAAUAGAGUCAAGGGCUGACCAGCCAAUCCUUAUCUCUUUAGCAUAAGACAAGCUAAGCCGCUUCCAUCCCUUGCUUCCUACCUCUCUUCCAUAGAAAAUGAUAUCCAAUCCCAAUCAAGCACUGGUUACCGAAUUAAUUCCGCCUAAGAAAAGAUCAAUGAACAUCCAUAAAUAAAUAGGAGAGGAGUAAAGAAGAGACCGUGGAGAUCAGAUUAGGCACAUCAUCAUUUCAUGAUAUCUUAAUGAUCUCUUUCAUUCUCUGAAGUAGACAGUCAAUUCUCUAUUUCAAGUAUAAGGGAGGGGAGCUGGGCAAUCCUUGUCAAUAUCAUCACACAUUCUAACUCGCCGCUCUUCCUGAAUAGGAAUAACUACUAAAAGAAAGCCUAUCCUUCUAAAUUCUCAAAUAUGAUGACUCAAUUGCAAUAUUCUUUGCCCCAUCAAAGAAAGGUCCAGGGUCCGGAGUCCGCAGGAUUUAUCCGUAGGACUAUCCAUUAGAUUAGAAGGAGGCGCAAUUCAAUAUGCGACUUUGAACCUUGGUAUUUUUUAGGUGAAGAAGGCCUAUUUUGGCUUAGUCAAAGUUGCUUGGGCUAAGAAUAGGUUUCAUUCUCAAUGAAUUAACUCACAUCACAAAGCAUGAAAGAAAAGACAAACUCAAAUCAUAAUAGAAGAACUCUGAAUAUCGGUAGUUGUGUGGCGAAGAAUGAAGAUCGGAUUCUUUUCUUUUCCUGACUUUCGAAGGCCAGCGCCCAAGAAGCCUUUACUAAGGCUGGUAAAGGUCUGGCAGAGUAGAAAGCGAUGGAUAAGAAGCUGAAAGUCAGACUUUCCAUUUUCUAUCUACACAGUACUAUAACGUAGAAUCAAUACUGAAUUCAGAAGCAAGAUACUGAAAGUGCGAAUUCGAUCUUGAAGUAAAUAAAUAGAGAUUACUUACGAUCUACCCGAUCUGAUCGAAGAAGUGCAACUUCAGCUCCAACAAGAGAAAGGACAGCGAGCUGGAAUUUCUUCCUGAACCCACUAGGACACCCACUACCCCUUGUUCAUUGAGGCGGUCAAUCUGGCCCGGCCGAAUCUGAUCUUUUUUCUUGGGCUGCUCGGGUCCUAUCAAGUUUUUGAUGACGUUCAAACUAGCUUCCAGCAAUAGCUUUGACAUUGUUGAAAGCGCUGAAAAUGAGAGGACUCAAAUUCUUUGACCCUCAGAAGAAAUUGAAGGAAUGAAAGCAUUAACAAAGGCGGACGACCACGCUUAGAGGGUUUGUAUGAUUUUCAUCAAUAUUCCAAUACCGCGUAGUGGGGAUUGAAAAGAUUAUGAGAAAUAUCCGGGGCUGAUCAGCCUUUAUUAGGGGAAUGCACUUUCAGAAGUGCUUUCUUCUGUCUUGAUUAAUGAAAAGAAAGGCGUAGCCGAUCUCCUUUAAAGAGGAGAAUGAGAAAGAUCGAUUGGUAAGAAAGAGAGUAUUAACGCCUUCCUUUAUAUGUCCAUGUCCAGGAAGAAAAGAGAAAUGUUCACACACACAUGGCUUCAAACCCCCCGUAUUAAACAAGCCCAUUUGGCUACGAUCUCGCUCGCAAGAUGAACCGAAAAUCUGAGCAAUAUUCUUUGCACCGUCCGGAGGACUGGCACAAAAGUCAAGAAAAGAAGCUCAUUAACGAGAAUGAAAGAAUCAUUAUGAUUUCAUAACUCGAAUUCAAGAAGAAUUAUGAAUCUGCUAGAUUUCAGAUGAAUCCGCGGAGGGAAAUGCUAG